UUCUCCUCUUCUCUACAGAUGAAGAGAAAAAUCAUUACGGACUCGCUAUCAUACGUUUUCCGAUAUCUAAAAAGAUUGCUUUAUCAGAAAAUCAUAAUCAAAAAGUUGGUUAUAAUCUCUUGCACUCUUCUUCAGAAAUCCAGGGUUAAUAAUUCACACGACCCUGCUUCUUCCUUUGUUCAAACAACAGAAGAUCCAUCUGAUUCAAGAUGUGUUCCUUCGAUUUUUAUCUGCAAAACAAGAUUUAGAUACCACCCUGAUGCAUUUGUCUUCUUGAUGUUUGGGGCUUUGGUGGAGAAAGACAAUUAGGUACCGUUGCCUGUGGAGCUCGGCAUAAUGCAUCAAUAACAGAGAUCUUGAGCAAGAGAUAAGAGAUGCAAUGUAUGGAUGCACUGACUGUCGUGGCAUAAACAUGUCUACCUGCAUUGAACAUCAUGCAUGCCUAUCACUGUUAGGAGAUAAUCGUCCAUCAGUAGGUCUUUCUGCUGGAUGCCCACUAAUUUCCGAUGGUCUUUACCGAAUCAACAAUGUACAUGUACAUAACUCAAUCAUCACAAUUACUAAGAAGUUGAACUAAUUUUGGAACUUCAAAGUGGGAUUAUGUGGUGACUUGAAUAUGCAUGAGAGCUUUCAUUUCAGAUAAGUCUUAAAAAAGGUGAUCCAUAUGUAGUCUGUGUUACUGUUAACUUAGUAUGUUGUCAGUGAUGAAGGAAGAUCCGUAAUAUGCUCAGAAACGGACUAUACUGUUGUGCAUUUGAGGCAUGGUGACUGACCCAAGUUGUUGUGUGACACCAUUUGCAAGCUAAAGGAUGUAGCUACACAAGCGAUAGACUUAUCAUGUUUGUCUUCACGAACCUUAUUGUGAUUCAUGCAGAAUAGUUAAUUAUUGUUUGUGACGCUGUAUUCUUUAGUGAAACUCAUAAUGAAAAAUUAAUAUAUGGAUAUUCAAUUUUUAA